UGCUAAAAUUCAAAGAGACAAAAGAGACUUGAAAGAAACUGCGGGAGUUGAAUUUACAAAAUAUUUCAUUCACUUCAACAACUAUAUAGUAACUGUUUUCAUUCAUAUUUUUCUUCUCCUUUCUCUUUUUUUUCUUUUUUUUUCUUUCCAUAAGGAGUAUGUAUUAACAUGUAUACAUCCUUCUAUUUUUUUUUUCAUUCAUUUUUUUCUUUUCUAUUUUCUUUUUCUAUCAACUUCUUAAAUAUUACAAAC
rnacentral:lncRNA from 1 species